AUGCAGUCGAUCGUGAAGAAGUGCGGUUUGCCCAGCAGCGGGAAGCGGAGAGAGCCGCUGCGUGUGUAUCAGAUCCCCCAGCGCCGCCGCAUACCCGCCACCCAGGAGUCCAAACAAAGACUCAGCGUCGAGGAGCUGCGCACACAGGCUGUUAAAGAGAUCUGCUAUGAGGUUGCACUUGGGGAUUUUAAGCACACGCGGCAAGAGAUCGAGGCCUUGGCUAUUGUCAGAAUGAAGGAGCUCUGUCGGACAUAUUGCCAGAAAGACCCUCAGGAGAGAGAGACCUGGAAAAGUGUGGCGAAGGAUGUAUGUGAGACUGUGGGCAUUGGGGAAGAAGAGGGAGACAGGGAGGACAGAAUUGCAGCAGCAGCAGCUGGAGGAGGAAGUGAAGGAGGAAAGACCGAUAUGGGAGACCUCAAGGCUCAUAUCGACAAACUGACUGACAUUCUGCAGGAGGUGAAGCUGCAGAAUAAUAUGAAGGACGAGGAAAUCCGAUCACUGAGGGAUCGCAUGGUGAAGAUGGAGAAGAUAUUCCCAGUUGAUGUUAAGGGAGAUGAUGAAGAUGUUGAAUUUGGUGGGGCCAGGGUUGAAGAACCGACAGCACAAGUCAACAGACGAAAUGAGGAUUCUGGGUACCGGCGCGGUCGCCAUCGCUGGCAGUAUCCAGAAAAAUACCACGACCCAAAACGCCGCAAAGGAGCCAACAAUCAGCCAAACAAUGCGCUCUACACACCGCCCCCGGGACACUCUCAGAAUAACCCGUUCAACACAGCAUCCUCUCGACCAUCAAAUCCAUCGUUCAAUUCUCAACCCUCUCGCAACCCCAAUGGGCCUUUCCUACCAGGAACUGGACGCUUUCUGCCCCCACAAGAUAGGAAACUACAGUUCCCGUUUAAGAAUAAUCCCCAACACCGAGGCUUCAAUUGGGGCCCUUGUGGAAACCAAGAACCAGCAGCACAGUCUUCCCUAAAUACAGAUGAAGUUCACACUUUCCAAUCCUCUCCUUCACCGAAACCACAGUGGCCGAAUAAUCAUCACCAACAAAGACGCAAUCAUGGAAACAGAGGCUACGGAAACUGGGGGAACCGACAACGCUCUCGAAAUAGAGGACGAAAUCCCUUUGAUGGAUAUUUAACUAGUGAUCAAGCUGGAAACGCAGAACACAGGGACAGCGGAUCAGUCCAAAUGCAGCACAAGCAGGGUCGAGCGCGCUACACUUGGUACAAUCCCGGUUUUGUUUCAGACCAGUCUGCUGGAGACGGAUUCCAGCACAACUACAACCAAAGCAGACAAGGUCUCUACAAACACCCCAACUCGGAGUACAACCACUACCAGAUCUCUUCUAAACAGGACUAUCAUCCGGAAGUGACCCAAUAUGUGUCCGUAGGCUAUCCCAAUCCACCAUCAGUCCCGGAUUGCAGUAGCACACCAAUGGAGACCUGAUUUUGAGCUCUUAAUCUGAUUGUUCUUGUGCGUCGUUCCUGACUCUUCGGACCCUCGGAUGGGGUGUUGUGGUUUGUCGUGGAAGGGUUUUCUGAUGAUGGGAGCGUCCAGGAAGUUGGAGAAUCUCCUUAGUGCAAUAACAGACAAAACAUUUUAUGCAGCCGGGUUUUUAUGUACAUAUUGCGGUUUUCAUACCUGCACCUACAGUGCUUUACGAGUGUUUUAUGUGCGCACAUAUCUAUACGUUAUCCUGAUGUAUACUGUAUAUAAGUAGGUUAUAAAUUGGAAGGGUGUGUAUUUGCAAGAGAGUUAAGCUCCUUUAAUGCACACUGCACUGCAAUGUUGACGUCAAGGCCCAAGAAGCGUGCGGCCUAUGAAACUAUCUGAGGAUUUUACAUCGUGCCUGCUGAAACGCCAAAGAAUUUUAGGAUUCCUCAGCCCUCAGGCUUAUAACUGCUUUGGAUGCUGCCUUUUUUAUUGUUGGUGUUUUAUAUCCUAUGUGUUGUUUUAUUCUUGGAUCCUGAGGGGCAUGUGUUUUAUAAACCGUCUGUUCUGUAGUUUAGAGAUUAAGAAAGGACGUGGGAUAUGUAAUCCUUAAAUCACGGAUGUCCACACUCGGUCCUGGUGGGCCGGUGUCCUGGAGAGUUUACCUCCAACUCUAAUCAAACACACCUGAACAAGCUAAUCAAGCUGUUACUAGGUCAGGGGUGUCCAAACUCAGUCCUGGAGGGCCGAUGUCCUGCAGAUUUUAGCUCCAACUUGCCUCAACACACCUACAAGGAUGUUUCUAGAAAGCCUAGUAAAAGCUUCAUUAGCUAGCCCAGGUGUGUCUGAUUGGCGUCGGAACUAAAAUUUGAAGGACAGCGGCCCUCCAGGACCGAGUUUGGACAUGCCUGUGCAAGGUAUACUAGAGACUUCCAGGCUGGUGUGUUGAAGCAAAUUGGAGCUAAAGUCAGCAAGACAUCGGCCCUCCAGGAGCGACUUCGGUCACCCCAGCCUUAAAUAGUUAACUGCAAACAAUUGAAGUGCCUGAGACUUUUACCUCUUAAUCACAUGUACAAGAUGAUAAUCUUGGUGAGGAUCCACAACAAUCCUUCCCUGUUGAGGUGCAAUCACGCGGACAAUGUUUUGCUACAGCAAAGCAACAGAUCGAUUGAUUUAUUUAGCUACAUUUAGUGACAUAGUCAUGUGAACAAGUUAGGAGACUUGAAUUGCACGUCCAUAUCUGGACAAUAUGGUCCUUGGCAGGUCUUAAAAUCUCGAAGAUAAAACCUCAAACGGACAACACACAACAUCUCAAAGUGGGUCAUUAAUUAUUUACCAAAGAUAGAAAGAUAGAGGGAUGACAACCUGAAGGCAGCCUAUGAUUCAGAUGUCUGUAGGUCCACUUUUAGCAGCAGUGAGUUGAAGUUCUCAUUUUCUGCAUGAAAGUUUUUUGCAAAGCGUUUCAGUCAGGAUGAGCUCUGGACUUUGACUAAGCCAGGGGUGCUCAAUCCUGUUCCUGGAGAUCUACCUUCCUGCAGAUUUCAGUUGCAACCCAUAUCAAACACACCUGCCUGUAAUUAUCAAGUGGUGUUCAGGUCCUAAUUAAUUGGUUCAGGUGUGUUUGAUAUGGGUAGCAACUGAAAUCAGCCCAAAUAAAUUGUUUUUAACCACUUAACGUAAAAAAAUUGAGUAAAUCCAAGGAAUCAUCUUUGAAUCAUUUUUUUUCAGUGAUACGAGCAAUUCGCUAAUGAAUCGUGGCUUUAAGUGGUAACACUCAAUAAACAGCUCUGAGUUUGAUGAACGACUAAUCAAAUAUUAGCGGAAAUAAACGUUUUUUUUUUUUUUUAUUUCAGUAUCAUGACAACACUAGUAUGGAGUCAUUGGAGUGACCGGGUGACUAAAACCCUCGGGAAUAUUUUGAAUUUGAACUGCAAUACCUCAAACAACCACUAAACUAAGCACUAUGUCAAUCCUACAUACUACACCUUUAAGACCUGCUCCUAUUUUUAUUUAUUUUUUGUUAUGAAAUGGAAAGAUUGUAAUUUCAUUGGGUGUACUUACUUUUUCACAUGACUAUAAAUUAAAAUAUUUCUAAUAAUUUAAACAAGCAGAGUUCAAAUCCAGCUCCACAUAGCUAGCUAUACACUACAAACCAAAUAACAUGAUUUUAUUUGUAUUAUUACUCAUUUUUUUUAAUAAACUCCUGCAUCGUUUUACUUACUGGAAUUUUUGUUGUUUUGACUUUAGUUAUUUUCGCCAGAAUAAGCUGCAAAUUAUAUCAGACUUUGUCAAUAUUCAGCCAAAUACUGGACUCUGACUGUACUAUAUAAAUCUUAGACUUGCCAAUGCCAUACUUUUUUUUGGACGGUAUAGCUGAUAUGGAGUUGUUUCGGAAAUCAGGUCUGUUAUCAGAGGUUUCAUUGCAGAAUAAAUCACAAGUAACGACUAUUGAAUUAUCUCUAUGCCACAGUUGACUUCUAAAAAGGACUUCUUGCUGGAUUAUUCUUGUUGCACCAGGUUAGGAUGUGCUGUUAUUAAUAUUCCUCAACUGACAAUGAUCUAUUAUUGAAACAAUAAAUCAUUUUAUCUUAAUCACAUUGUUGUCUUUGUUUUUGCAUGAGUGCCCAGUGAGUAAUGUCUUCAGUAUUUCCAAAAUGAAUUCCAUUUCUGAUGAAAAAUAGAGUGUAUUCACAUAUCGCACAUAUGACAUGUUACCUUGGAUGCCUGUGUUUUGUUUUUAAACAGGAAGUUGUGUGCGGACAUUUGGGGGGUGUAUAUUAUUACUUCUUUUAAAUAUGUGCAAUAUACUGACACUGAGGAG
rnacentral:lncRNA from 1 species